UCGGCCAGCCACAGCUCGAAGAAUACGCGGAGGAGGUGGCCUGGGUCGGCGUCGGCGCCGUCCGGCGUGGGCCACGGGCCCGCUUCCAAGUGCGUCUGCGCGUCGGCGACCCACGCCGGGUCCUUCAAGUGCCGCUUCCACCACACCAACUCCCAGGGCCACGGCCAGGGCCAGGGAAGCCGCCCUUCUUCGUCCCCUUCAUCGGCCGCGGCCAACGCGGUGCCGCAGCACCCGGCCUCGCCGUCCUCGAGAAUCAAGAAUGCUCGACAACAGAGAGGGAAGGGAAGAUCAUAUACAUGUCACAAGAAAGGGAGUUUAUUUACUGCUCCCUCGAUGUAUUGUUUCCUUUGUUUGGAGAUUGAUUACCAUCCGUGA
rnacentral:rRNA from 1 species